GAAAAUUAGGAGCAAAAUAAGGACUUCACAGAACAUUCCAGUCCUUGUUAACUAUUUUUACCAGGAAAGCACUCUUUGCUAAAGCAGAGUGCAAAACCAUCAUAUUUGAUCGUUAGCUCAUGUGUGGAAGGAAUUGCCAGAUGCAGCCAGUUCUGCUCAAACCCUGAACUUCUGACCUAUCUGUGUGUAGGCAGUCAUGACUUCAUUCAUUCAUUGUUUAUUUAUUAAGUAAUUUAUCCACUCAUUAACUUGAUCACACAACCAACAUAUAUUGAGUGCUUGCUACAGGACAAUACUAUACUAGAUUAUUGCUAUUCCUUAGUGAACAAGACAAAACAGUGGCAUUUCCAUGGAACUUGUAGUACAGGGAUGGUAGAGAGAGCUGGCUAGUAAACAAAUUAUAUGCUUUACCUAUAUAAUUACCCAUUGUGAUGGAGGCUAUUAAGGAGAGAUACAUUUUUGAUGGAUACGGGGUGAGGGGUGUGACCUUCUGUGGGAAUUCUUCCCUGAGAAAGUAAAGUACUUGAAGAAAGAUAUAAUUUUCUAAUUUAAAUAUUUCAUUAUUUUCCUACACUCUGUCUUUUAUUUUUUAACAAGAAUGCCACGUGUGCACAUACUUUCCCAAAUCUUCCUGCUUACUUUUCCUAUGUAGACUGUUGAGCUAAGCAUUAUGGAUUGCUGUGUUCUGAAUCAAACUGCCCCAGAAUCCCCACAGAGAAUGAGCUCCAAUCUUAUCUCCCUGUCCAUCUGUAGACUUUACCCUUUCAUCAUUCGCCCCUUAUGUUUGGGGUGUGCAUUUUUGUUCGCAGGGCACCUUCAGACAUAUUAUCCAGCCCAUCUUCACCAUCUGUCCUGCAGGGUGCGAAGAAUGAGAUCUUCCUGAUACGCGUGAGAAACAGUGAUUCUGGGGCAGCAGUGUCAUGUCCAAGGUCACAUACCAGUAAGACCCAGGCAAGAGAAGAUCCAGAAAACCCUCCAAAGCUGUUGCGCUCAUGAAGAUAUCACUUUGGAAGAAAGAAUAAUUGCAUUGAAUGAGAGUAUACAGGACACUCUUGAAGUAUGUAUCAUGGUGUUUAAUCAUGAUAUUGUGAGUAAUUGGGAAUAUAAAGGUUCUUUCAAAAUGCUUGCUUGGUCUUUAUGAACCUUCCUGGAUAUAGCAUCAUAAAACUGACCCCAAGUGAUUUGCAGGAUCCAUCAUUUGUGUUUUAUAAGAUGAAUACUGAAUAAAUACCAUAGCAUGCAGAUACGAUCA
rnacentral:lncRNA from 1 species